rnacentral:lncRNA from 1 species
GCUGCUCCAAGCUUCAAGACAACCUGUUUUCAUGACUAAGUCCAAAGUGAUUUCAUCCUAAUUGCUUGGUUUUGGUCAUUAGGAACCUAUUUCCAUUUGUAGCAAUUGUAGCAAUUUUUCACUGUAAUUACUUAGUUUAGUUUUUUUUAGACAAAAUGUGAGUUUGGAUUAUUUGGGACUUAUUGAAUUAAAUUUUAAUUAUGUAAUU